CGAGUUGGCCGGGCGGCCGCGGAGGACCGACCGGUCCUGCACAGGGGGAGGAGGGACGGUCGGAUCUUUCGAGGAAAGUCCGGACUUCACAGAGCAGGGUGAUUGCUAACGGCAAUCCGAGGUGACUCGCGGGACAGUGCCACAGAAAACAGACCGCCAGUACUGGUAAGGGUGAAACGGUGCGGUAAGAGCGCACCAGCAUCCCGGGUGACCGGGAUGGCUAGGCAAACCCCACCCGAAGCAAGGCCAAGAAGAUCGCGUGGGGGCGCGAUCGCGCAGACGUUCGAGGGUUGCUCGCCCGAGUCUGCGGGUAGGCCGCUCGAGGUACCCGGCGACGGUGUGCCCAGAUGGAUGGUCGCCGCUGAACCCUGACGGGUUCAGGACAGAAUCCGGCUUACAGGCCAGCUCGUUCG
rnacentral:RNase_P_RNA from 2 species